rnacentral:lncRNA from 1 species
UCCACUCAGGCAUACACCAUCAUGGUUUGUCCAAUUAUUCGUGGGAUAGACUCUGCAAAUUUGGAAAAAUGAGGGAACCUACCCCAGCUCUGUUGACAAGCUUGAGGUCCUGAGCGAGGCAAACAGUGGGUGACUCUGUCUUCAUAGUCUCGAAAGAUACUGUCCACGAGCCGUGAGACCCGCUCAUGUUCCUGAGAACGUUUUGCUGAGAAUGAUGACUCUCAAGCCGCCAGAAACUGCAUGUUGAAGAAACUUAGCGGAGGGAAUUUGACACACUGAAAUCCAGGA